rnacentral:rRNA from 1 species
CAUUAUGCUCAGCCCUAAACUUUGAUAGUCCACUACACCCACUAUCCGCCUGGGAACUACAAGCUCUGGCUUAAAACCCAAAGGACUUGGCGGUGCUUAAGAUCCACCUAGAGGAGCCUGUUCUAGAACCGAUACCCCCCGUUCAACCUCACCCUAUCUUGUUCCUACCGCCUAUAUACCGCCGUCGUCAGCUCACCCUGUGAAGGAUUAGUAGUAAGCAAAAUUGGUAUGACCCAAAACGUCAGGUCGAGGUGUAGCGUAUGAAAGGGAAAGAAAUGGGCUACAUUUCCUAAGCAGGAAAUUACGAACAAUAUGUCUGAAACGUGUAUUAGAAGGAGGAUUUAGCAGUAAAUGAAAAACAGAGUGUUUCAUUGAAACCGGCCCUAAAGCGCGCACACACCGCCCGUCACUCUCCCCGAGACGCGACCUUUUAUACUUAAUUGCCUAAAUAAAAAUAAGGGGAGGCAAGUCGUAA